GCGGAUGAGGAAAAUCCUGCAAGCUUAGACAAGAUAGAAAGUAAGGAAGACAGAAGGUGGGUAGCGAAGAACAAAUCCAAUAGCUAGGUCACGAUUCAACUUCCUAUUCAAGUGAAUCUGCCUGGAGCGAGCCUGGUCUGGGAUCUUUCCCAUAGCCUUCUUUCUUUAUUCUUUAUCGCCUGGUCUUUCGUAUGGGACGUGGGAUCUUUCUUUCCUAAAUCCAUUUACCUUGCUAGCCUAAGGCUUAAGAGUUAUCCCUUCUAAUCAAAAAAGGAAAGCAAGGAAAGCCGAAACCAGUGCUACCCUCAAGUAACCCAAUGGACGUACGAAUAUCUGCUUCGAAAGGACAAAGAGAGUCU
rnacentral:lncRNA from 1 species